rnacentral:lncRNA from 1 species
CCUCCUCUGCAAGAAUGUGCCCCUCGUGCGGUGGCUUGCCUCCCUUCCCCUUCUUCGGCGGCUUUGCGUCCUCUUCCACUUCCUCGGCAAGCAUGUGGCCAGGGUGGUGGGGCGGUGUCUUGCCGGGGAAUGGCUUCUUGUGGGAGUCCUCCUGUUCGGCCUCUUCAACGAGGAUGUGCUCAGGAGGGUGGUGCGGGGGCUUGGGUUUGGGGAAGGGCUUUUGUGAGUCGUCAACUUGGACGUUCUCGAGGAGGCGGCGACCCCCAACAGGGGGGUGCUUGUGGGGAGGUUUGUCCCCUUUCGGUGGCUUGGGAUCGUGGCCAUCGCAGAAGACGGUGGCGGCAAAAAGCGCCGCUCCUAGGAGCAACACUAGCAAGUACUUAGAAGACAUCGUUUGCUUCAUUUUUGCUAGAAGAGGAUGUAUGAGCUGAUGGUGUUGGAGUUAGAAGCGAGGGAGUGUCCCGAUUUAUAGUGGGUUUCGAACUUAUGUCGUCGUCAGCAAGCAUGUCACCCGGUCCCUCGGAUUUUGCCUCUCGCCUUCGCUACGAAACAGCGCGUCUCUUAGGUCUGUGUUCUAUUGGUUGCUCAAGAGUGUGAUAGAGUGGGGCCCGCCUUGGAUAUAGGGAUUUGCUUUGGGGUAGAAAAGUUUGACAAUCAGCCUAAUGCCUAAUUAACUAAUCUCUCUAAGUUUGACAAUCAGCCUAAUGCCUAAUUAACUAAUCUCUCUAAUUAACUGCUCCCACUGGAUAGAUUUGCACGGCCGGAUGGCAAUAUGGUGGGGUCCAUCUUCGGACGUUGGGAGUGCUUGAUCUCUCAAUUCCUUGUGACAAUUCUCUUUCUUGGAAAAGCAGGAGUAGAUUCACACGCAUAGCACAUUGGAGUAGUAGAGGCUCUUACCUUCAAUGUGAAAAGCUUUUACAAUGCAACCACAGAUUGAAUUUAUGUUGGAAGGCGGUGGUUGAUAUGGAACCAAAGACUUGUUUAUGAGCGAAUGGGCAUAAAACUACAUCUUAAAAGAGAACAAUACUAGAUAUAUUAAUACCGAUAAGAGGGGCAUGUCGGUGAUAAGUUUAAUAAUUCUUAAAUUGAAAUAAGGUAAUGUUAUUCCUUUCGUAUAAUCCACAACCAGCUAUUUGGACGCAUUUCUACAAGUCCUUUUAAAACUGGUUAAGUUCAUGGGAUUAGACCAAUAAUAAUAAUAAUAACAACAACAAUAAUAAUAAUAAUAAUAAUAAUGAUGAUGAUGAUGAUGAUGGUAAUAAUUGCUUAGCUAAUACAUGGGACUAGAUUAAAGCAAGAGUAACAAUGACAUACUUAUUCCUUAGUUUGUUUCACAUGAAGGGAUAACUAUUCUGGGACUAUGUUCGUUAAGGGAGAAUAGCUCAAAAAGUUAAAAACUUAUUACACUUUUGCCAAUUCAAUCAUAAAUCUUUUAAUUUUGCCAAUUGAGUUCUUAUUUGCAAUCCUUCUCACCUUUAGCUAAUUAAGUGCAUACGGCCAAUUUUGAUUGAAAUUUGUUAAUAUGGAUGACAGUUGUUCUACAUAACAUGGCCAACACUGAUAUAGAUAAAAUUUUUUUAUUUAUAAUUUUUGAAUUUUAUGAAUUUUUCUUUCUUUUUCUUUACUUUUUAUGGUUAUUUGGAUUAAGGGUAGGCAGCCCUUGUCUGCUUUGGGUGAGGGCCACGACGUCUUCACUGACUACUAGGCGAGGGUCACGAUGCCCUCAUGAGCCAAAUCGAGAGCGAGGGCCAUGAUUCCCUCACCUAGUGCCAUCUUAAAUAGCACUGAUACCAACAUACGACAUACGAUACAAUACGACAUGCCAACAUAUUGUUUCUAAAAAAUUAAAGAAUUUCAACAUGUUAAGACCCGUUGUAUAUUAAAGGUAUAUUUUUUAUAUACAUGAUUAUUUUAAUAAAAUUAAUUUUAUUCAAAUUCACAAAUAAACAAAUAAUAAAAAGAGAGCCUAGAAUGAAUUUACACUAAAAAUAUUAAUCUACCAUUUGUUAAUAUCAUCUAUUGUUUCAAUUUGACAAAUUCAACUCCAUUUUAAUAAUCUAUAAAACUUAGAAAAAAAACAAACAAUCCAUAUUCUGGACUUGUGUGUCAGAGUGUGUCAGAGUGUGUCAGAAGAGAAGAAAAAAAAACUUGGGCGGUGAAUUGUGUGUUACAAGAAGUGAGAGUUAAAAGAGAAGAGAAAACUAUGUUUUUCUUCUUUUCCUCUUCGUAUUUUUAAUAUUUUUUACAUAUUUGCAUUUUGAUCCCUCAUUUAUUGAAAAUUUUUAAAAUUGACCAAAUACGUGUCGAAAUCAUAUAACAAAAUCUUGAACUCGCAUAUUGGAAUUCCAAACUCACAUACCAAAUAGUGUCGGGAGAAUUGACUAGAUGUUGAAUUUUCCAACACUUAUUAAUAGAGUGUCGCAAAGUGUUGGACAUGUGUCAGAGUGUCUAACAUGACAAGAAUGCUCCCGGAUAGUAUUGGUGCUUCCCAAGUGUUAGCAAGGGUCAUUGGCUCUCAAUCUAGAAAAAAUAAUGUAAAAAAAAAAAAAGAGAAAGAAAAUAUCUAAAAAAGAUUAUUAAAAUAUUUUUAAAAAAUAUUUAUAUCAGUGUCGGUCAUGCCAUGUAGAGUAAUCGGUGUCCAUGUCAUCAAUUUUUUGCAAAAAUUGAUUGAAUGGAUUCAAUUAAUAAAAAGUGAAAGAGUUUAUGAUUCAUUUGAUAAAAUUGAAAGUGUAAAACUCAAAGUAAACCAUGUGAGCCUUUGAGAUUUUGACCAGCUGGGUCCAGGUUGAGAGAGAGAGAGAGAGAGAGAGAGAGAGAGAGAGAUUUUGCGGCGUCUUUUCUCGGUUUCCCAUUUGAGAUGGUGACCCUCUGAUUUGAUACGUACAUAAAACGUGGAGGCAUUAGAGACGAUGAGAAAAGGGCCCCCUAGUCAUUAUCGUCUUGUCUAUUCUUUUCCUUAUCUCGGCAAAGUAACAUUUUGCACGAAAACUAGGGGGGAGGAACAUUAAAACGUUGUUCUAACCAAAAAGAAAAAAAUUGAACCAUUGAAAAAUUGUUAGUAUGAGCUCAACCCGUCAAACAACAGAUGACUUAGGUCAGAAUUUAAAUAGUCUAAUCCAAAUAGACUCAUUUAAUUUAUUUUGACUCUUUUUUUUUUGGGUAAGAGAUAAGAAUAAUAUUGACUUUUGAACUAAGAGCUACACAAAAGUACAGCAAAAGGCUGGCUCCAAAAAACUUGCACUAAAAAAGACACAGGCCUCAAUCCGAGUGGAAGGGAGUCGGGGAAAGCUGCACCAGAAAAACAGAGAAGGUAGAAGCAGCAGCGGAAGCCAACACAGAGGCAAGGAAGAAAUAAACAAAAGAAGGGGCAACAACAAUGAAACCCCAAAACUACAGAAACAGACAGGGGAGCCAAACGGAGAAACCAAGGCCACACCCGGCAAAGCAAACCAAAAGACAGCUCAACUAAGAAGAACCAUCAACAGCAGCACGGACGAGCAGAGCAGAAAGCAGCAUCACCCAGUAAUCCAACAGCUCAGCCUCCGAGAAAACCAAAGGGACGAAAGCAGGGUCAAAAUAAACUUAAUAAUCCAUGAUGAAUCCAAUUCAUAUCGUUAAAAUGCUCUGAAAUAAGAAUGCGGAGUGAGUAAGUAUGAGAUUAGGUGAAAGCGAGAAAAAUUGAAGAGAGACAUAGAAAUAUGUUCGGUUUAAGUAAGUUGAAAAUCCAUAUAUGAUCUAUUUAAUACUUAUAUUAUGUUUAAACCCAUUUAUGACAUAUUUACUCAAUAUAACUAAUAUGUUUAUAACCCUUAUGGGUUAAUAAUUGAAUUUGUGACCCAUUUUGAUGGGUCUAGUACGAGCUUGUGACAUGGGACAGAAAUGUGGAUUUUCAUUAGAUGCAUAGAAUGUCCAAGCCUUUUGAUUUAUGUGAUCUCCAUCGAUGUGGGCUUUUCCCGUCAUGUCGAUCGAGGGGGGGGGGGGGGGCGAGCAUGGCUCUCGAGUCAUUACAUAUGUAUUGGGAGAAAAUCUUUGGGAGCUACCGCUCAAGUUUAAGUUAUAAGAAGAGUGGGCGAUCUACUGCGUAAAUACCUUGAAACUCCCUUUCUCGCAUAAGUUAGACUUUGAUCUAAGAUUUAUGAGGUGAGCAUUGAUUCAAUAUAUAAAUUUUCUAAUACUCCCCCUCACGCAUAAACAACUUAUUUUAGACUUAUGGUUAGCCAAUGGCUAUAAAAUCAAUUGGUUUGGUUCUUAAUUUCAAUUUUUUGUAACCAGUGCUCGAAGGGUUGGUUUCCAAUUGUAUGUCCAGAACCGAUCACCCAUAUUAACAUUAAAGUGUGUAACUGAGAUCAUAUCUAAUCUGAAAAUAAUCACUCUAAUAAAAUUGAAAAGUGCAAAUUGAAAAUAUAUAAAUGGCAUUGCCCCUCCCUUUACCCUCUUAAAUAUAUAUUGAAAAAGUUUAAGCCGUUGAUUCAGGCAUGAUUUAAUACCUCAAGCAUGGCAUUCACACUAAAUCUCACUAAACAACCUCAUAAAUCUCCGACACCCUAUGUUCUCUGUGUACAAGCCAUCUUCCUUUCCCUUCUCCCUAGAACAACCUGCAAUUACUUAAUUCGAACCUGAUGUCACCGCGCAUGUCAGCCACGACAACGACUUCACUGGAUCGUGCACCGGAAUGAAUAAAGAACCGAGACAGAGAGAGAGAAAGGGAGAAACAGGGUAGACCGGAUCGGGAGACUUCAGGAUUUGCGAUCGUGGAUUGCGAUUUUGGUGGCAAAAGCCAGUGUGAACCGUUGAAAAGGUGGACAUUUCGCCUCGUGGGGUUAGUUACAACAAAAUCCUCUUUUGACUCGAACAGCGCCGACAUCGGUUGGGAGGGGGAUCGUCGUGCGUAUUUCACCUGGAUCUCAGACUCGAUUCGGCUUUAGAAGACGUAGCAGACUCGACCAAGGUUCUUGACGUCUCAUCCCUCAUCCUUCCGUUUUCUGUGGUUUAUGUGAUUAUGACGGACUUCUAAAUUCUUCCACUGCGACUUAUUCUAAGGAAAAUUUACCUGUUAUCAUUAUGGAGUCCUUUCUUGUUUCUUGUAAUCAAUAUCUACAAAAGAUAGAUCCUAUUAUAUUUAUCAUGUACGAAAAAGUUUUUUUUGAAAUACUCAUUAAAAUUAUGAGUGAUUAGUUUUAGCGUGGGAUGGUUUCCACCCCCACAAUCAUGAAAUGACCCACCUGACUUUGAAACCAAAUCGAAUUGGAACCAUUUCUCAAAUGGAUCCGAGAAUUGAUGAGGAUUAUCUUUCUUUUCUUUUUCUCUACGCAGAGUCAUUCGUUCGCUUGCUCAUUAAAUAACAUACUCUCAUACUCUGUAACACCCCCAUAAAUAGUAACAGACCACUGCUCAAAUCUCUCACCCCUUGCUUCUUCACUGACCAACAACAACGCUCUCUAGGAUUCCCAAUCUCCAUUGGAAUUUCCGUUCUUAGAAAAUUAAAGGAAAAGGUACGUUACAAAACAAACACCAAAAGAGGGAGUCCCAUGACUGUGUGAGACUGAGAAUGAGAGUGAGAAGUGAGAGGCGUGAGACUGAGUGAGCAAGGGGAACUGAGGGAGGCAUAGCGUGAGACCGAGAGUGACAAGAAAGAGGAGUGAGAUUGAGUGAGAACCAAGAGGGAUGAGUAGGGAGAGAGAAUGUGAAAUUAGGGUUUUGAGAAUUGAUUUGUAAUAAUAAAAAUUAUAUGUAAAAAAUUAUCAGCCCAGUUUAGAUGGUUCGGGUGGAUCGGUCCACAUUGAAAUCAAGAACUAAAUCGAUAAUCACCAGUUCCAAAUCACUAAUUCAGUCUAGUUUUGUGCUUAUCCCUAUCAAAAAUAAUAUAUGAAGUAUUAAUUUUAGUCAAGCCAUGGUUUCGGUGACAAUUUAACAGUUGACUAAAUUGGAUGAAAUCACCAAAGUUUGUGUCAUGUUUCGUUUUCCUUUUUAAAAGAUGCCCACUGAGUUGCUUGGAGUGCCCAUCGAGAUGCUUACUAAAUUCUUUCUUUAUGUUUGACUUUUUAUUAUUUAGUUUAGGCCCUUGCGCAAACUUUAAGAAAAGACAAAUAUGGGCAUAAACUGUCAAAAAGAUGACUCAAUUAGAGGAACAGUCGUGGUCUUCGCAGCUGUGGUCGUGCAUACACGCCAUUUUCCCUUCGAAUUAAGCGAUCGCUCGCGGAAUUCGCUUCUGGGUCUUCCUCCCCUUCCAAUUUAGCGAUAGCCCGCAAGAGGUUUUGCUUCGUCCACGGAGGGGAGAUGCGGUCCGAUCCCGAGCGUGCGUUCGUGGGUCGUCCGCUAAAGCUGAGGUUCCGUCCACGGCUCGCCACUGAUCCGCUGCGCCGGCUGGGCCUUUUGGGCUCGCAGCGACUUUCGCGCUCUUUUUCGAAUAGUGUAAGGUUAGGCAUUUUCAAUGGGAUAACGACGGCGAGAGUUUGGAGAAUUUGGGUUGAUCCAUUCAUCAUAGUCCUAAUAACAUCGUUUUCCAAUUUUGAAGUCCUAAAACUUGCCACUAUUUUUAAUGUCAGCUAUCCUGCUAAUUCCGUCCAUUUUUCUUGCACGGAAAAUUCCAAUGACCUCUUCUUCUUCUUUUUUUAAAAUUAAUUUUCAUUUAUUUUUUGGACUAAGACCAUUGAUGUAGUGCUAAAUAACCAUCCCAUUAAAGAAAAAUUAAACAUUCCAAAAAGAAAAUUGGCAAUACCAAAAUAGAGUGACUAGAAGGCAAGGAUUAGAAUACUAGCCUCUUUUGUUGUGACAAUAAUUAGAGAUCCUCACCAGGUUACUGACUAGGGCUGUCGCCCUCACCACAAGCAAACGCUUAGUGGCCAUGGGUUCCCUAUGGCCACUAGGCAAAGGUUGUAUUGCAGCUGUCAUGCUUGGGACCUCGCUCGAUUGUGGCUAGGGCCUAGCCAGGGCCAGCUCGUGCCAAGGGCAAUAACGGAGAUGAUGCUGCCAUCUCCCUUGUUGUACAUCCGUGCCCGCCCAAUCCCUCUCUCCUUUCUUUAUUAAUUUCCCCUUUAUUUUUUAUUUUCAGUUUUUGAAUUUAAUGGAAAAUGACAUUAUUUUUGUGUUAACAAAAAUCGCUUUGUACUUUAACAACCUUUACUAGUAAACAACAACACGCGUGCAAAAGAAUAACGAAAAGAGCGGGUUGAAUUUUCCAUCCACUAAAAGCUAACAGGAAAAUUAAUGUGAUGGACGGCAAUUAAUUUUAUAACUUAAAUACAUGAAAUUCAUAUAAGUUAUGAGGACUCUCGUUACCUUUGCUACACAAAUUCUAUACCUGUUUUUGGGAGCAGAAAAACAAACUUAUUUUGUUCAGAAAAUGAUAUUAGUGGCCAGAAUAAAUAAGACAAUAAGAAAAAGGAAAUGCCCGGGAGCAUUGAUCAAUAUCGCAAAGUGAACGAGAAAGUCAAAAGCAGAAAUACCACUUGAGGAAAAAUAAAAUAUUCACGAUCAACGGUGAGGAAAGGCCCCUAAAGCUUCUAAUCCUUGUGAAAGAAAUUAUAUAAUUUCGACCAAAAUUCCUGUCUUGCCCCUUCCGACAUAAAAAUUUACAUAAUCCAUAUCUUGCCAUCCGCCACGUGGAACCCACUUAUCUCGUGAAACAGCAAUAUAAGAGGGCAAGAUCGUCAAUUUCAAAAAGGGGCACCAUUAGAAUUCUCAUCCGUGGCGUUCGAAAGGGGCACGUGUACACAGUACGUAAAGGAUAAAUGCUUCAUUCGUUUUGGGAAAUGAUUAUUCAUUUCCUAUAUUCCUAAACAGAAAUGAGUAGGGAACGGUGCUGCUAUUUCAGAAAAUGAAAGGUGCAAUGUGACGACAAGUAUCAAAGAUAGAUAAUGGAAGACUCAUCAGUGAAAAAAAAAAAUUAAGGUAAACAUUUAGAGCAUAUCUAAGUAGACUCAAAAGUUUUAAAUUACAAUAUUUAAAAUAGAAAAUAUUAUUUUCUAGCCAAAGUAAAGAUUUAGAAUAAAAGAAACUUAAUAACACAAAAAGAAACUUUAUAUGGAAUACGAUUGAAAAUCAUUUCUUUUUAUUUUAACUUUAGUUUUGACUCAUGUGAUCCUAAAAUUGAUCUUGUAAUGUUUUAGGUUCUUAUGUAUCUUCAUCUACAAGUUAAGAAUCAAUAGGUAAUUUUUUUGUCUACUAAUUUAUUAUUAAUGAUUUCUUUUUAGUUAGUGAUUACGUUUUUUUACUCGUGAUUUGUGGUUAUCUAUAUUUCAGUAUUUAAUUUGUUUUUCCAUCCUUCAUAUUUAAAAAAUUCCUCUUAAUGAGAUUUGUGAGAGUUUCCUUUUUAAAUUAGUGCUUCUUAGGCCUUUUUAAAUCCUCUAAUCUAAUCAUAAUUUAAGCCAAGAAAAUAUAAAGCAAUGGGAAGUAAAAAAAAAUAAAAAUUGAAACUGGUGGAACCCAUCUCCCAAUUUCCUCCAUAAACAUGCGCGGCUAAAAUUCGACGGUUCCUACCGUCACAAAAGCCCCACGGUUAGCUAGCUGGGCUCAUUUCUAAAGCAAAUAUUUUAGGACGCGGUCCGAUGGAUCCUCUAUAGUAAUGGAGUAUAAAAAUACGUUGCGUCCGAUGGAUCCUCCGAUCAAUGCUACCUAUGCGGCAUCAUCUAGCAAAUACGAAAUUUCUAGGUGUUUUGAGUAAAUAUAUAUCGAAACGCUUUUUGUCGGUCGAGAGCCAAUGGUAACAUCAGAGAAGCAUAGGAUUACACACAAUAAUCUACAUCGACCGACACAAAGCGAAAGAGCCGACUCCAAAACAGAACAUAGCUAAAAGACGAGCCAGAGAACGAGAGAGUAGCGAUACAAGACUGUCCAUUCAGUAAGACUCAGAGAAAUCGCACUGAUAGUGUACAUAUAAUCGGAUUAGCACAGCUCUUAUUCCUAAUGCAUAACGAGCACAUGCAGGGACACAUCAUCUAGGGCACGCUCAGCUCUCGGUGGGAGGCUUGUGUGGCGGCUUCUCUCCCUUCCCCUUCUUCGGCUCCUCCCCUUUCUUCGGUGGCUCGUGCUCGGGGCCUUCCACCUCCUCUACGAGAAUGUGCCCCUCGUGUGGUGGCUUGCCUCCCUUCCCUUUCUUGUGCGGCUUCGCGUCCUCUUCCACCUCCUCUGCGAGAAUGUGCCCCUCGUGCGGUGGCUUGCCUCCCUUCCCCUUCUUCGGCGGCUUUGCGUCCUCUUCCACCUCCUCUGCAAGAAUGUGCCCCUCGUGCGGUGGCUUGCCUCCCUUCUCUUUCUUUGGCGGCUUCGCAUCCUCUUCCACCUCUUCUAUGAGAAUGUGCCCCUCGUGCGGUGGCUUGCCUCCCUUCCCCUUCUUCGGUGGCUUCGCGUCCUCUUCCACUUCCUCUGCAAGAAUGUGCCCCUCGUGCGGUGGCUUGCCUCCCUUCCCUUUCUUUGGCGGCUUCAUGUCCUCUUCCAACUCCUCUGCGAGAAUGUGCCCCUCGUGUGGUGGCUUACCCCCCUUUUUCUUUGGCGGCUUCGCGUCCUCUUCCACCUCCUCUGCAAGAAUGUGCCCCUCAUGCAGUGGCUUGCCUCCCUUCCCUUUCUUCUGCGGCUUCGCGUCCUCUUCCACCUCCUCUGCGAGAAUGUGCCCCUCGUGUGGUGGCUUGCCUCCCUUCCCCUUCUUCAGCGGCUUCGUGUCCUCUUCCACUUCCUCGGCGAGCAUGUGGCCAGGGUGGUGGGGCGGUUUCUUGCCGGGGGAUGGCUUCUUGUGGGAGUCCUCCUGUUCGGCCUCUUCAACGAGGAUGUGCUCAGGAGGGUGGUGCGGGGGCUUGGGUUUGGGGAAGGGCUUUUGUGAGUCGUCAACUUGGGCGUUCUCAAGGAGGCGGCGACCCCCAACAGGGGGGUGCUUGUGGGGAGGUUUGUCCCCUUUCGGUGGCUUGGGGUCGUGGCCGUCGCAGAAGACGGUGGCGG